GACGAACGCUGGCGGCGUGCUUAACACAUGCAAGUCGAACGGAAAGGCCCUGCUUUUGUGGGGUGCUCGAGUGGCGAACGGGUGAGUAACACGUGAGUAACCUGCCCUUGACUUUGGGAUAACUUCAGGAAACUGAGGCUAAUACCGGAUAGGAGCUCCUGCUGCAUGGUGGGGGUUGGAAAGUUUCGGCGGGUGGGGAUGGACUCGCGGCUUAUCAGCUUGUUGGUGGGGUAGUGGCUUACCAAGGCUUUGACGGGUAGCCGGCCUGAGAGGGUGACCGGCCACAUUGGGACUGAGAUACGGCCCAGACUCCUACGGGAGGCAGCAGUGGGGAAUAUUGCACAAUGGGCGGAAGCCUGAUGCAGCAACGCCGCGUGCGGGAUGACGGCCUUCGGGUUGUAAACCGCUUUCGCCUGUGACGAAGCGUGAGUGACGGUAAUGGGUAAAGAAGCACCGGCUAACUACGUG
rnacentral:rRNA from 1 species